GAUGAACGCUGGCGGCGUGCCUAAUACAUGCCAGUCGAGCGAACAGACGAGGAGCUUGCUCCUCUGACGUUAGCGGCGGACGGGUGAGUAACACGUGGAUACCCUACCUAUAAGACUGGGAUAACUUCGGGAAACCGGAGCUAAUCCCGGAUAAUAUAUUGAACCGCAUGGUUCAAUAGUGAAAGACGGUUUUGCUGUCACUUAUAGAUGGAUCCGCGCCGCAUUGGCUAGUUGGUAAGGUAACGGCUUACCAAGGCAACGAUGCGUAGCCGACCUGAGAGGGUGAUCGGCCACACUGGAACUGAGACACGGUCCAGGCUCCUACGGGAGGCAGCAGUAGGGAAUCUGACGCAAUAGGCGAGAGCCUGACGGAGCAACGCCGCGUGAGUGAUGAAGGUGUUCGGAUCGUAAAACUCUGUUAUGAGGGAAGAACAAAUGUGUAAGUAACUAUGCACGUCUUGACGGUACCUAAUCAGAAAGCCACGGCUAACUACGUG
rnacentral:rRNA from 1 species